GUGCAUAGUAAUUUUUCAUUUCACUGUCACAAAUCACUCAUCAUCAAACACCAUGAAGCUCCAAGGUCCAAUCGCCAAACCCCGUUCAGUUCAGUUCCAAGACGCCGGAGAAACUGUUGCAACGGAACCGCACCUGCGGCGUCGCGCUCUCCGUCGCAGAUAUAAAAGAAGUAGGCAAGGGUUUGCAGGAUCGGAAGCGACGUUGUGAAACGGCGUCGUCACCGCCGCCAAGCAAGAGUGUGAGGAGGCAGAUCUUGCAGUGGUCUUCUUCUCCGAGUAAAUCCAAGAGUACUGACGAUGAUCCUUACAAGCUUCCAGAAAGAUAUAAAAUUUUGGAUCAGUUCUUGGAUCGCUUGAACAGUUAAUUUCAUUGUUUCGUCUGAAAGGGAAAGACGCCAUCUUUUAUGGAAAUCAGUCAUAGAAUUGAAUCUUUAACAGACAGGUACCCAUCCAUUAGGUUCUUUUUCUUUUAAUCAAUAGCAAUGUUUGAUCUUUUAUCUGUACAUGAAAUGCUAGUUAUGCGUUGUGUUUCUAUACUCCAUGGUCAGAUCUCAAACAAAGCAAAAUAAAGUAUAUUUUUUAUUUGUUGGCUUAAAAUGUAAGCUUAUGAAUGGUUCAAAAGAGAGAUAUAAACAAUGAAUGUCUUGAUUGCGUCGUUGAA